rnacentral:snoRNA from 1 species
CACCCUUUAAAAGCACUCAGUAGGCCUUUGCUAGUGACCCACUGAGCCGUCAAGAAGGGACAGAGUAAAAAAAACAUCACUUUUGGGUGAAGUGGCAACAUGUGUUGUUUGCUUCAAUCAGUGUUGUGACAAGA